AGAGCAUCAGUGAUGUUACAUCCAAAUUUACUCAUCCUUGCACUUUGAGCUGCGCGGUGAAGAAAUCAUUGGGGAAAGUUGUCUGAGAUGCUC
rfam:Setaria italica strain Yugu1 chromosome II, whole genome shotgun sequence.